AUUAACUUGGACCUAUAGUUGUGAUAGGCCCAAGUUCUUUUAAUAAGAUUAAAAUGAUUUUGAUGUAGCCCAACACUACUCCCUCAACAAAACGAAUAUUAAGUUGAUAAGCGAGAGAUGUUUUGAACAUCUCUUCGUAGGCCUUCCACCGUGGUGGGCUCCAAUCGUUUGUGACUCCUACACCGGCUUCACCCUAUCAUGGGGAAGUUCAAAGUAUGUGCUUACAUCCAGGAGGAGUCAAUAAACAUAUGAUGAAGUGAGUGUAGGCAACGAGGAUGGCCAACAUCGUAUCAUCGUGAGGCUAUUCUUGAACCCCUACACGAACUAAGCAUGGUGGGAAUAACUUAACUAAGUGCAAUGGUGCCGACAUCGUAUCAUCGUGAGGCAACAUUCUCUAGAGGCCAAACAAGAUGGGUAAUUACAAAAGUUGUAAAUGAAUAAAGCGUUAUUUUCUCAUCAUUAUUGUUGCUAACAACAUCGUAUCAUCGUGAGGUGGGCUUGGUAAUGGUGAGUCUCCCAUACCCCGCUUAGAGUUCAAAAUAACUCUCAAAUUCCAUUGAGGGAUGUGGAAUUUGCCAAAAAUAGUGGGUGGUACUAUUUGAUUUAAGACCCAAUCAAGUAGUUUUAAAACAAACAAUUGAAGGAUUUAUUUUGUAAAACAUGUUCAUUUGAGCAACAUCAUAUAGCAUGCAAUUAACAAUUAAAGGCGGA
rnacentral:lncRNA from 1 species